UCUAAUUCUUUCAUGUUCUAUUCCAUUUAUUGUCCUUUAUUGGACCAACCAUUUGAAUGCUUCUAAAAAUCCCCCCCCCCUUCCUCUAUAUGCUGAUCUUGCAUCACGUGACUCGGGGUCUGCGACCAAAGAUGUCUGGAAACCAAGAACUCCCGCCCUUCACUCAUGUGGGACAUGGAAGCAUCAGGAUUUUGGUUCUUGGAAUGAUCCCCAACAGCCAUCUAGCUCAGAGAGGGAAGAAAAGUCUCAGGACCCCAAGAUUUCACCUGUGGCAAGAUCUGCUGUGCUAGGUUAUUUUCUUUUCCUGGAAGCUCCAUUCCAACCUUCACCACACAUCUCGCCACCACGGGAGGCUGACCUGUAUGAAUUGUGAGCACCAGCACUCCUGGCCUCAGGCUUCCUGUUGGGCUCCACCAAGGGGAGAUGCCAUCGAAAGACGCCAUUUGGGGGGAAAGUAAGGUUGAGGUAUUUAUUCUCUGAAUGGGAAUAAUGAUGAUAAGGGUGAUGAUGAUGUCUGCAGCUUCCAGCAGACCCACACACCUUCUUCUGCAUCUACAUAUACAGUUAUCUCACUUUCUUCUGCCCUUUCAGCCCUAGAGGUGGCAACACUAGCCCCCUCGGUAUUUCACCAUCUUUUGUUGGUUUCACUGUACCCUGUCUACCCUUUUGUAAACUGCCCCAUCUUUAAACUCUCCUCAAUCACUCUGCUUGAAUAUGCCAUUUGGGACAUUGCUGGUAUCCUGCCUGACUCUUAGUUUCUAGUUCAGUACUCUCCCCCCUACCCCCCAACACUGUGCUGGGUUGAAGCAUGGAGAUAAAAAGAUUGCUUUCAUGGGAAUGAGUUUUACUCUUUUCUUCAAAAAUUAUAUUUUCUUGGAAAUAUUUUGAUAGUUAAGAAUGGACUGCAAUUUCAUUCCCUUUUGUGAUGACAUUGCAAUUUCUUUACAGGACAGGUCAGAAAAAAGAUAGGAAUUUUUCCUAGGCGAAUUACUGAUAGAAUCACAUCCCUUUCCAAGCUCUUGUCCAUCCUAGGAAUAAAAUGAAAAGAGGUUAUUCUGUAUGAUAUUGG
rnacentral:lncRNA from 1 species